GCACCUUUUGUGCUUAGAUAUUGAAUUAAUAAAAAUAAAGAGCAUAAUUUCUUUUUCUAUAGAAUAAAGAGGAAAUACUUCAUGCACCCUGUUUACAAUACAGUCCACCAAAAUAAUAAUAAAAAUUGACUUCCUAAUAAUUCCUUCUACUAACAUAUAAUUAUAAAUAAAAAUUCAAAAAUUUUGAAAUAAAACCCCCUUGCGCCUAAUUACAAAAAUUCUUCAAUUUCGCUGCAAAAUUUCUUGAUUUGAGAUUACCGGUAAUACAAAUCAAUCUUUAGAACCACGUUCAGUCAGACCUUCAAGAUUUUAUUUAUUUGCAAUGACCCAAUUCUUCAUUUGUGUCCAGUAGUUAAAAUAUGUUACAAAAAUGUUUCAGGGAAAAAAGGAAAAAGCCUUAUACAGAUUAAAAAGUUUGCCAACAAAACCGCUCCUAUCUUUCUCCCUCUGAAAACCCAUAACGGUGGAACAAGUAGAUACCUUGACUUCAAAAAAUAUUCACAGCAAACUAUUUGAACAAAUUCAAUCCUCUGCGAGAUCAACAUGCAAUAAUUGUUUUCCAUCAAACUGAAGCUGUUUCUUGUCUUAGCAGCAUAGGCAUGUUAAGCAGUUCAGUCCUUUCUGGAAGUCCCAAAGCACAAUAAAGACAUCCAUCCAUCUACCAUUGAUUAGGGAAAGCUUCUCUGUAAUUUGCAUCCUCACCAAGUGUCACCAGCCUUAUUGUAGCAUCCCUUGCCCGGGUAUUCAAAAGUCUCUGUGCUAACCUAUCUUUUGUGGAUUCUUUCUUGUGCAGCAUUGAUGCAAGGCUUUUCUUUUUGUUUCUAGCCAACCUCCCCCCAGUGGUUGCCUUCACAUCCUCCCCAGCAAAUACAGAAUUAGAGGUCGAUGCCAAUGCAGCAUCUCUCAGAACCGCUUCAUUAUGUUCACGAAUCUUAGCAAGCUUUGCACGCUUCUGUGAUUGCUUAUCCAAUUUUCUUUUAUUAGCUUCCUCAUUCUCUCUAUUCCGAACAUUCUUUACAGCUUGUUUUGCUAAUUGCUCUAUUAAAUCAGAAUCAAGAGUUGUAUCACUUGUUGAAGUGCUCUUAUUGAUAGGAUUUCCUUCAUCGUCUCGGGGUAUGACGGGUCCAUGGAAAGGGCAAACUCUCAAAUCUCUUCUCUGACAAAGUCCACCUUUGUGUAAUGGAGCAUGGCAUGGUUGUAUUUCUACUUGCUCUUCUUCAUAAAUAGUUGCACGAAUGUUUAGCUCUGCAAUUUUUUCUGCUGGAAUAACUGCAUUGUAGUCUACCCUACCCCAGUGACUUUCAAGCUCUAAGCCCCUCUGGUUGGCAAGAACAACCCGAUUUGAAUCCCAAUUAUUCAAGAAAUUGCCCCACUUUACAACUGGGGCUUCAGCUAAAAGCUUACUUCGAAGUGAGCUUGAAUCAGUUCCUUUGCAACUCUGUGACUGAUCACAUUUUGCCUUCCCUUUACUGCUUUCAGGAGAAUCAUUUUUCGUCUGCCCAGAAGUUGAAGCCACAGCAAAGUUUUCAUUUAGCUUAUUGAGUGCAUUAGAGCUCUCAAGUUUAAUUGAUUCAAUUUUACCCUCCUCCCAAAAAUCUUCUUCCUCAUCCUUUUCACGCUUUGUAGUAUCUGGAAGAGCAUAACCUGAUUCUACACAUUUCUUCUUGACAGAUUGGAGACGAUUUUGGAUAUCAAUGAAUUCCUUCAGCACUGAAUCUCUAGAUCUAUUAUCUGGUACUUCGACCCUUAUAAGAACAGAGAUCCAUUCUUGGACUGAAACCAGAUGCUUUGUUACUAGAAGCUUGUACAGCUCCCUCAAUGCAUCAAAAACCACUUUGUUCUCACUGUUCUCAUGAAUCUUUUCUCCUUCUCUCAAUGAAUCAAGACGGAUCUGGCGUAAUUCUGAAGGGCGGAACUCUACAAAAUCUUCAUCAUCUAAAGGACCAGGUGGCAUAGUUUCCUGUUCAGUACGAACAAUUUCUAAACACUCCCCAAUCUCAUCUAACGUUGACUGUAUCUCUUCCUUUAUUGAAGAUAAAUUUCCCUUCAAUAUUUCAAACUUGCUCUGUAGAAUCUCUUUUGAUCUCAUCUCUCUUUCCCUUCUUUCCUGCGCAGCAUUAGCCUGGAUAUUAGGAAAUUGGAACCGAAGCGUGUUUUUAAGAUAGUCAAAACCUAAUCGAAUCUGCCUGUAAUGAAUCCCAAAUGAAUCAUUCCACUUCUCCAAAAAUUCAAUUGCCUUUGAACGCAAAACAGAUGCAACAGCUGGUGGAGCAGGAAGCGGCAGAUUCCUUCUGAACCCAACACUUAAACUCAAUAGCUGAUCCAAGUUUUCAACAAGAAGGGUCCUAAAAAGCUUUGAUCGCAUGAAAAGUUGAUCAAUUAUGAGAAGUGUGAGAUACCUGACCUGAGAGUGGUCGCAUUUCAUGAGAUCCAUUAGGGUUUGUGCCGCCAGUCGGAGCUCCGAAUCAGAAUACCGGACCACCGAUUUGAUGGCCUUGAGGAGGCGGGGUUCCACCUCUGCCUCCGUCGAAUUUGUGGCCUUCUCUAUCAACGCCCUGACCUUCCCUUGCCCUAAACCUCCUACAGUUUCCAUUGAAUCACGCAAGAACAGGACAAAUAAAAUCAGGAAAAUUCAAAAAG
rnacentral:misc_RNA from 1 species